rnacentral:rRNA from 1 species
CCUACGGGUGGCAGCAGUGGGGGAUAUUGCACAAUGGGCGAAAGCCUGAUGCAGCGACGCCGCGUGAGGGAAGACGGUCUUCGGAUUUUAAACCUCUGUCUUUGGGGGAGAAAAUGACGGUACCCAAAGAGGAAGCUCCGGCUAACUACGUUCCGGCAGCCGCGGUAAUACGUGGGGAGCCAGGGUUGUCCGGAUUUACUGGGUGAAAGGGGGGCGUAGGCGGGAUUGCAAGCAGAAUGGUAAAUCCAUCGGCUCAACCGGUGGCUGCGUUCUAAACUGGCGUUCUUGAGUGAAGUAGAGGCAGGCGGAAUUCCUAGUGUAGCGGUGAAAUGCGUAGAUAUUAGGAGGAACACCAGUGGCGAAGGCGGCCUGCUGGGCUUUAACUGACGCUGAGGCUCGAAAGCGUGGGGAGCAAACAGGAUUAGAUACCCUAGUAGUC